AGACACAUUACAGGGGCCAAUGCAGGCUGCCUACCGUGAAGCCUUCCAGAGCGUGGUACUGCCAGCCUUUGAGAAGAGCUGCCAGGCCAUGUUCCAGCAGAUCAAUGAUAGCUUCCGACUGGGCACGCAAGAAUGUGAGUGGGGUCAUAUGCUUCAAGGUGGGAGGGGCUGGCCCCCUCUCCCCCACUAUCCCUCUCAUGGCCCCUAUGGUGACCUCUCAGACUUGCAGCAGCUAGAGAGCCACAUGAAGAGCCGGAAGGCACGAGAACAGGAAGCACGGGAGCCCGUGUUGGCCCAGCUGCGAGGCCUGGUCAGCACACUGCAGGGUGCCACUGAGCAGAUGGCAGCCACUGUAUCCAGCAGCGUUCGGGCUGAGGUGCAGCACCAGCUGCACGUGGCUGUGGGCAGGUGUGUGGGCAGGGUGCUGGGCAAGGUGGUGUGUUUUGAAAGUGCCAGACGGGACUUCUUAUCUAUCUACCUCAUCUCCCUCACUUCCCUUUGCAGCCUGCAGGAGUCAAUUUUAGCACAGGUACAGCGCAUCGUUAAAGGUGAGGUGAGUGUAGCACUUAAGGAGCAACAGGCCGCCGUCACGUCUAGCAUCAUGCAGGCCAUGCGUUCAGCAGCUGGCACACCUGUCCCCGCUGCCCACCUCGACUGCCAGGCCCAGCAAGCCCAUAUUCUACAGCUGCUGCAGCAGGGCCACCUCAAUCAGGCCUUCCAGCAGGUACGCCAAGCAUUAGGUCCAGGUAGGGGUUAGGUGUUUCCUGACAAGGCCCACACACCAUACUCUACCUGUCAGGCUCUGGGUAGUCUGACCCUAACAGGCUGUUCUUGGUUCUCUUUGGCCUUUCUGGCCAUUUCCCCCUACUUCUCUGCCUGGUUCCAGGGUCUUUUUACCUCAGUCUACCUUGCUUCAUGACCACCCUUCUUAGGAAACCUCUCCUGAUCUCUUAAAGUAACAACACACCCCUAUAUUACUGUCUUUGGGCCCCUGAGCAUCCCCCUCUGGAGCCCUCGGUACCCUACCCUGGUCAUUAUUUCCCUGGCCACACAGCCAGACAAGUAGGUAUUCCAUUCUGACAUUACCUAUAAAUACUGUUCUUACCCUAGGCCCUGACGGCUGCUGACCUGAACCUGGUGCUGUAUGUGUGUGAAACUGUGGACCCAGGGCAGGUUUUUGGGCAGCCACCCUGCCCACUCUCCCAGCCUGUGCUCCUUUCUCUCAUCCAGCAGCUGGCCUCUGACCUUGGUACUCGAACUGACCUCAAGCUCAGGUGAGUGGACUCAGGUCAGGAGACAGGCUGGGGUGAAGGUGGGGGAGCAGUUCAAAGCAGAGACGUCUGCCUGACUCUGCUUCCUAAUUUUCUCCACCUCUGUUCCCACCCAUCUCAGGCUUUGAGGACCCUCCCGCUCCCCCCCCCCCCCACCGUCAGCCAUCCCUCUGGGCCUCAGUGCCACUAGGGGGCACUCCCAUUUGCUGGAACCCACCUGUAUCUUGUCCCUUUCUUCCACCACAGCUACCUGGAAGAGGCUGUGAUGCACCUGGACCACAGUGACCCCAUCACUCGGGACCACAUGGGCUCCGUCAUGGCCCAGGUGCGCCAGAAGCUCUUUCAGUUCCUGCAGGCUGAGCCGCACAACUCACUUGGCAAAGUGGCCCGGCGUCUCAGCCUCAUGCUGCACGGCCUUGUAACCCCUAGCCUCCCUUAGCUAAGCCUGCCUUGCCCAGGGGUGGGGAGGCACUGAAGGCCAGCACACAGGCUUAGGCUAGUGUCUGUCCUUUUACCUGCUUAGGCUCCCACCUCUGGGGUGUUUGAGGGGAGAGCACUGGAUGUGGUCUACAGGUUGUGGUAGCCAGCAGGUUUUGGCUGGGCCCAGGGUGGGUAUUGUGCCUUCUUGGGUUCUGCCAUGCCUGGAGCAUGACCCCUGAGAUCGUGACACCACUUGAGUUGAAUUUUCCAUAUUCCUUUUUACCUCCGAUUUGGAUCUUUUUGUUUUUGAAAAAUGUUGAGAAAUUCAAUUAAAUGCUUUUGGAAUAAAAUGGAGCAUGUGUGUGCAUUUGGUGUAACUUUGAUAAGGGCCUCUGUUCUCUCUUCCGUCUCCUCCCUGUGUGGAGUUCUGGCUAGGCUAACCCAGGUGCCUGGACACCCACCCUCAUCUGCGCAACUUUCUUCCCAGAAACACCUCUCCAUCUCUGAGAGAGGGCCCUGGGGUCGGCUCUGCAAUGCCUGUGUCCCCAGCUCUUCUCUCUUUGGUCCCUACCCGCCUUUGCCUAUCUCCCUACUGGGGUGGGGCCGCCAGCUGGCUUUGGGCCCCGCCCCCGACUCCCAUCCAAUCACAGGCCCUUCUUCCGGAGGCUGGGCCGAAGGGCUGCGCUUCCAAGCUGCUAGCUCAGGCACUAGGCUCCCAGACGGGGAUGAUGCGCAGCUACUCCUCCUGUCACCACCGCCAGCGACUGCCCCGACCAUCCGGUGUGCUGGGGCUGUUGCUGCUGCUGCUACCACUUGGUGAGUGCGGGAGUGCCAGACCCAGCUUGGCAACAGGGCGGCACACUCUCCCCAGUCUGGGUAUAGGGUGUGUGGGAGCAGAGGCACAGCCUUGAGUGCUGAGAACCAGGCUGGAGAGGAGGUGCAAGGGCUCCAGCAAAGAAAUAACGUGUUCCAGUGGUUUCAGGAUGCAAAAUGGGCAUGAACUGAGGCCUAGUCGUGGGGAAAGGACCCUGAAAUUCCAUAGUCCCCUUUCCGAUAAAUGGAGACAUAGGCUGUGAUGGGACUCUUAGACCAGCUGUGGGACCCCUGAGGUCCUCUGUUAGGGUCUCACCUAGAUCCUGACCCCUGUAUCCUGUUCUACCUGGCUGAAAACACCUGUCUUUGGGGAUGGGGUGGGAAGGCCAGGCGAAGCUUAUCUAGGCUGCAGGACAGUUCAGGAAGCCCAAUAGCCCUGGACUCUGCCCCUCUUCUCUGUGUCCUGACUCCUGCAUUUGGAACAUCCUCACCUGGCCUGCAGCCCUAGAAGCUCAGAGGAAGAGUCAGCCCCUUGGGAUGGGACACCUUCUUCCCCCUCUCUACGUAUCCUGUCCCCAUUGCAUCUAAAGGGGGGCGGUCAAUGCAGGUGAUCACCAGACAUGCCCCUUGGUUCUCUUGGGUGCCUCUGUUUCACGCUGAGUCACGUCCCCAGAGCAUACUCAGGUAAACAAGCCCCUGGGGGCUUAGUGGGGAAGUGGAGCCAGGCGACUCAUGCUAUCAACCAUUCUCCACCCCCACCCCUAGUCCUUGUAUCUCCUCUGGCAGCAGCUGCAACAGGCCCAGGGGGCUGUGACACCAUAUACCAGGGCUUUGCUGAAUGUCUCAUCCGCUUGGGGGACAGCAUGGGCCUGGGAGGCGAACUGGAGACUGUCUGCAGGUAAGGGUAGGUGUGACGACAGCCACCUGAUCACCAGACCCCCACCACCAGGCCCUUGGGGCCUGAACCUUUUCCUUCCCAUUAGAAAAGUCUCUUUGCCCCACCUAAUUACCCUAACCCCAAGCCUUUAACAGGUCUUGGAAUGACUUCCACAUCUGUGCCUCCCGAGUCCUAUUGCGCUGUCCGGAGGAGGCUGCCGCCGUGUGGGAGUCACUACAGCAAGAAGCUCGCCGCGCCCCACACCCAGAUAACUUGCAUGCUCUGUGUGGCACCCCUGUGCGCAUUAGGGAGCAUGGCAAGGGCCCUGAGACCAACCAGGAGACACUGCAGGCAACAGGGUCUGCACAUAGCCCAGCCCCUGCACCCCCACUGCUGGCAGCUGCUCUGGCACUUGCCUGCCUCCUAGGGCCUCUGGCCUAGCCAGUCUAGUGGAGUAGCGGCACCCCUGCCUCCUACCCUGCUCUGGUGGCUGCUGCUGGGGCUCUGCAGAGUGCCCUUGGCUUUCAUUAAAGGCAUUUAUAUUUGU
rnacentral:lncRNA from 1 species